GACGAACGCUGGCGGCGUGCCUAAUACAUGCAAGUAGAACGCACAGUUUAUACCGUAGCUUGCUACACCAUAAACUGUGAGUUGCGAACGGGUGAGUAACGCGUAGGUAACCUGCCUGGUAGCGGGGGAUAACUAUUGGAAACGAUAGCUAAUACUGCAUAAUAUUGAUUAUUGCAUGAUAAUUGAUUGAAAGAUGCUAUUGCAUCACUACCAGAUGGACCUGCGUUGUAUUAGCUAGUAGGUGAGGUAACGGCUCACCUAGGCGACGAUACAUAGCCGACCUGAGAGGGUGAUCGGCCACACUGGGACUGAGACACGGCCCAGACUCCUACGGGAGGCAGCAGUAGGGAAUCUUCGGCAAUGGACGAAAGUCUGACCGAGCAACGCCGCGUGAGUGAAGAAGGUUGUCGGAUCGUAAAGCUCUGUUGUAAGAGAAGAACGGGUGUGAGAGUGGAAAGUUCACACUGUGACGGUAUCUUACCAGAAAGGGACGGCUAACUACGUG
rnacentral:rRNA from 1 species